UACGUAGGGUGCAAGCGUUAAUCGGAAUUACUGGGCGUAAAGCGUGCGCAGGCGGUGAUGUAAGACAGGUGUGAAAUCCCCGGGCUUAACCUGGGAACUGCAUUUGUGACUGCAUCGCUGGAGUGCGGCAGAGGGGGAUGGAAUUCCGCGUGUAGCAGUGAAAUGCGUAGAUAUCAAGUGGAACACCAGUGGCGAAGGCGAGUCCCUGGACGACUCCUGACACUGAGGCACGAAAGCUAGGGGAGCAAACAGG
rnacentral:rRNA from 1 species